rnacentral:rRNA from 1 species
GACGAACCGUGCGAACGUUGUUCGGAAUCACUGGGCUUAAAGGGCGCGUAGGCGGGCGGGCAAGUCGGAGGUGAAAGCCCCCAGCUCAACUGGGGAAGUGCCCUCGAUACUGCCGGCCUGGAGGGAGGUAGGGGCGUGCGGAACUUCCGGUGGAGCGGUGAAAUGCGUAGAUAUCGGAAGGAACACCGGUGGCGAAGGCGGCACGCUGGGCCUCUCCUGACGCUGAGGCGCGAAAGCCAGGGGAGCGAACGGG